AUGUAGAAUUUUCGCACGAUUUAUUAUGUCAGUAACAAUAGAUGGAGUAAUGGUAUGUCUGACAGUCGAAAUAGACAACAAAAAGAGGAAAAAUAUUAUUGUAAGUUGUGUAUAUCGGUCACCUGGUUCAAGUAUUGACAUUUUUAAUGAACAAAUGGAAAAAAUGUUCUCGGAAAUAAGUACUAAAAAUAUAUUUGU